UACGAACCGUGCGAACGUUGUUCGGAUUCACUGGGCUUAAAGGGCGCGUAGGCGGCUUGCCAAGUCAGGGGUGAAAUCUUUCGGCUCAACCGGAAAAGUGCUUCUGAUACUGGCGGGCUGGAGGAGGGUAGGGGCAGGUGGAACUUCCGGUGGAGCGGUGAAAUGCGUAGAUAUCGGAAGGAACGCCGGUGGCGAAAGCGACCUGCUGGACCCUCCCUGACGCUGAGGCGCGAAAGCCAGGGGAGCGAAC
rnacentral:rRNA from 1 species